rnacentral:rRNA from 1 species
AUUCCAGCUCCGUUAGCGUAUAUUAAAUUUGUUGCAGUUAAAAAGCUCGUAGUUGAAUUUCUGGUAGGAGUAACCUGGCCUUUGACGAAUGUCAUUGUUGCUGUGUGUCAUCUCUGGCCAUCCUCGGUUUACUUUUUGUAAGCCGUCAUUUACUGUAAAAAAAUUUAGAGUGUUUCAAGCAUUUCGUAGGAAAAGAAUAUAUUAGUAUGGAAUAAUAAGAUAGGACUUUGGUGCUAUUUUGUUGGUUUGCACACCAAAGUAAUGAUGAAUAGGGACAGUUGGGGGUAUUCGUAUUUAAUUGUCAGAGGUGAAAUUCUUGGAUUUAUGAAAGACGAACUACUGCGAAGGCAUUUACCAAGGAUGUUUUCAUUA